UGCAGUCGAGCGGUAACAUUUCAAAAGCUUGCUUUUGAAGAUGACGAGCGGCGGACGGGUGAGUAAUGCCUGGGAAUUUGCCCAUUUGUGGGGGAUAACAGUUGGAAACGACUGCUAAUACCGCAUACGCCCUACGGGGGAAAGCAGGGGACCUUCGGGCCUUGCGCUGAUGGAUAAGCCCAGGUGGGAUUAGCUAGUAGGUGAGGUAAUGGCUCACCUAGGCAACGAUCCCUAGCUGGUCUGAGAGGAUGAUCAGCCACACUGGGACUGAGACACGGCCCAGACUCCUACGGGAGGCAGCAGUGGGGAAUAUUGCACAAUGGGGGAAACCCUGAUGCAGCCAUGCCGCGUGUGUGAAGAAGGCCUUCGGGUUGUAAAGCACUUUCAGCGAGGAGGAAAGGGUGUAAGUUAAUACCUUACAUCUGUGACGUUACUCGCAGAAGAAGCACCGGCUAACUCCGUGCCAGCAGCCGCGGUAAUACGGAGGGUGCGAGCGUUAAUCGGAAUUACUGGGCGUAAAGCGUGCGCAGGCGGUUUGUUAAGCGAGAUGUGAAAGCCCCGGGCUCAACCUGGGAACCGCAUUUCGAACUGGCAAACUAGAGUCCUGUAGA
rnacentral:rRNA from 1 species